rnacentral:rRNA from 1 species
CGGACGGGNGAGUAACGCGUAGAAUCUGCCUUCAGGUCUGGGACAACCACUGGAAACGGUGGCUAAUACCGGAUGUGCCGAGAGGUGAAAGGUUAACUGCCUGAAGAUGAGCUCGCGUCUGAUUAGCUAGUUGGAAGUGUAAUGGACUCCCAAGGCGACGAUCAGUAGCUGGUCUGAGAGGACGAUCAGCCACACUGGGACUGAGACACGGCCCAGACUCCUACGGGAGGCAGCAGUGGGGAAUUUUCCGCAAUGGGCGAAAGCCUGACGGAGCAAUACCGCGUGAGGGAGGAAGGCUCUUGGGUCGUAAACCUCUUUUCUCAGGGAAGAAAAAAAUGACGGUACCUGAGGAAUAAGCAUCGGCUAACUCCGUGCCAGCAGCCGCGGUAAUACGGAGGAUGCAAGCGUUAUCCGGAAUGAUUGGGCGUAAAGCGUCCGCAGGUGGCAAUGUAAGUCUGCUGUUAAAGAGUGAGGCUCAACCUCAUAAGAGCAGUGGAAACUACAUAGCUAGAGUACGUUCGGGGCAGAGGGAAUUCCUGGUGUAGCGGUGAAAUGCGUAGAGAUCAGGAAGAACACCGGUGGCGAAGGCGCUCUGCUAGGCCGUAACUGACACUGAGGGACGAAAGCUAGGGGAGCGAAAGGGAUUANAUACCCCUGUAGUCAA